rnacentral:misc_RNA from 1 species
GGAAAUCCUCUUAAAAGUUACCCUAUUCCUUUUUGGCACUUUGUCCAACUUGGUUGCCUAUUGCCUAAUAUAAUUAACAAAGAAUAUAUUGAAGGCUUCAAGCCAUAGGCAUGUAAACCGCUGAUAGCAUGAUGCAUGUGAACCGCUGAUCAUCCUAUGUUUUUAUGUAAAAAUAUUUUAUGACUUAAACUUCAAUGAAUUCUUUAUAUGAAAAAAAUUAUCUCUGGUAAUGCUUUAUUUAUUUAUUUUUUUU